CCCCUAGAUGUUCUGGGCUGCACGCGCGCUACACUGACAUACUCAGCAAGUUUCCUUUCCCGAAAGGGUUGGGUAAUCUUGUUAGUGUAUGUCGUGAUGGGGAUAGAAUAUUGUAAUUAUUGCUCUUUAACGAGGAAUUCCUAGUAAGCGCAAGUCAACAGCUUGCGCUGAUUACGUCCCUGCCCUUUGUACACACCGCCCGUCGCUCCUACCGAUUGGGUGAUCCGGUGAAUGGUUCGGACUCUGGCUAUGCUAGCUACUAGCUACGUCAGGGAAAGUUCUGUGAACCUUAUCACUUGGAGGAAGGAGAAGUCGUANCA
rnacentral:rRNA from 1 species